GACGAACGCUGGCGGCGUGCUUAACACAUGCAAGUCGAACGGAAAGGCCCUGCUUGCAGGGUACUCGAGUGGCGAACGGGUGAGUAACACGUGGGUGAUCUGCCCUGCACUUCGGGAUAAGCCUGGGAAACUGGGUCUAAUACCGGAUAGGAGCCAUUUUUAGUGUGAUGGUUGGAAAGUUUUUUCGGUGUAGGAUGAGCUCGCGGCCUAUCAGCUUGUUGGUGGGGUAAUGGCCUACCAAGGCGGCGACGGGUGGCCGGCCUGAGAGGGUGGACGGCCACAUUGGGACUGAGAUCCGGCCCAGACUCCUACGGGAGGCAGCAGUGGGGAAUAUUGCACAAUGGGCGCAAGCCUGAUGCAGCGACGCCGCGUGGGGGAUGACGGCCUUCGGGUUGUAAACUCCUUUCGCUAGGGACGAAGCUUUUUGUGACGGUACCUAGAUAAGAAGCACCGGCUAACUACGUG
rnacentral:rRNA from 1 species